UCCGAGUUGACCCCGGCAGUCUCCCAUGAGUCCCCGGCAUAACCCGCUGGCAACAUGGAACGAGGGUUGCGCUCGUUGCGGGACUUAACCCAACAUCUCACGACACGAGCUGACGACAGCCAUGCAGCACCUGGACCGGAAGUCCCCGAAGGGAAGACCCCAUCUCUGGAGCUGUCCUCCGUUGUCUAGCCCAGGUAAGGUUCUUCGCGUUGCGUCGAAUUAAACCACAUGCUCCACCGCUUGUGCGGGCCCCCGUCAAUUCCUUUGAGUUUCAGCCUUGCGGCCGUACUCCCCAGGCGGGGCACUUAAUGCGUUAGCGCCGGCACUCAGGGGGUCGCUCCCCCAAGCACCUAGUGCCCAUCGUUUACGGCGUGGACUAC
rnacentral:misc_RNA from 1 species